UGAUCGGGGUUGCGGACAGUGUCUGGUGGGUAGUUUGACUGGGGCGGUCUCCUCCUAAAGAGUAACGGAGGAGCACGAAGGUUGGCUAAUCCUGGUCGGACAUCAGGAGGUUAGUGCAAUGGCAUAAGCCAGCUUGACUGCGAGCGUGACGGCGCGAGCAGGUGCGAAAGCAGGUCAUAGUGAUCCGGUGGUUCUGAAUGGAAGGGCCAUCGCUCAACGGAUAAAAGGUACUCCGGGGAUAACAGGCUGAUACCGCCCAAGAGUUCAUAUCGACGGCGGUGUUUGGCACCUCGAUGUCGGCUCAUCACAUCCUGGGGCUGAAGUAGGUCCCAAGGGUAUGGCUGUUCGCCAUUUAAAGUGGUACGCGAGCUGGGUUUAGAACGUCGUGAGACAGUUCGGUCCCUAUCUGCCGUGGGCGCUGGAGAACUGAGGGGGGCUGCUCCUAGUACGAGAGGACCGGAGUGGACGCAUCACUGGUGUUCGGGUUGUCAUGCCAAUGGCACUGCCCGGUAGCUAAAUGCGGAAGAGAUAAGUGCUGAAAGCAUCUAAGCACGAAACUUGCCCCGAGAUGAGUUCUCCCUGAGACUUAGAGUCUCCUGAAGGAACGUUGAAGACGACGACGUUGAUAGGCCGGGUGUGUAAGCGCAGCGAUGCGUUGAGCUAACCGGUACUAAUGAACCGUGAGGCUUAACCUU
rnacentral:rRNA from 1 species